GGCACCAUGGCUUAGCUGGCUAAAGUGCCUGCCUUGUAAGCAGGAAAUCCUGGGGUCAAAUCCCAGUAGUGCCU